rnacentral:rRNA from 1 species
GUGCCAGCAGCCGCGGUAAUACAGAGGGUGCAAGCGUUGUUCGGAAUUACUGGGCGUAAAGCGCGUGUAGGCGGUCUCGCAAGUCGGGUGUGAAAGCCCUUGGCUUAACCAAGGAACUGCAUUCGAAACUACAAGACUAGAGUAUCGGAGGGGGUGGCGGAAUUCCCGGUGUAGAGGUGAAAUUCGUAGAUAUCGGGAGGAACACCUGUGGCGAAGGCGGCCACCUGGAAGAUAACUGACGCUGAGACGCGAAAGCGUGGGGAGCAAACAGGAUUAGAUACCCUGGUAGUCCACGCCGUAAACGAUGAGUGCUAGGUGUUGCGGGUAUUGACCCCUGCAGUGCCAAAGCUAACGCGUUAAGCACUCCGCCUGGGGAGUACGGUCGCAAGAUUAAA